rnacentral:rRNA from 1 species
CAGCAGCCGCGGUAAUACAGAGGGUGCGAGCGUUAAUCGGAUUUACUGGGCGUAAAGCGUGCGUAGGCGGCUUCUUAAGUCGGAUGUGAAAUCCCUGAGCUUAACUUAGGAAUUGCAUUCGAUACUGGGAAGCUAGAGUAUGGGAGAGGAUGGUAGAAUUCCAGGUGUAGCGGUGAAAUUCGUAGAGAUCUGGAGGAAUACCGAUGGCGAAGGCAGCCAUCUGGCCUAAUACUGACGCUGAGGUACGAAAGCAUGGGGAGCAAACAGGAUUAGAUACCCCAGUAGUCCCUGUCUCUUAUAU